rnacentral:miRNA from 1 species
AAUCUCAUCGACCGGAAGGGAUUCCUUCCGGUCAAUGAGGUUGUUAUACCUCAUCGACGGGAAGGAAUCCCUUCCGGUUGAUGAGAUU